rnacentral:lncRNA from 1 species
UUUUUUGAAUAAAUUAAAUCUUAAACUUUUUAACCUAUCACGUUUCAAAUCUUUCGCCAAUUUCAAUUUAUAUAGUUAAACGACAACAAUUGUUCCCACAAAAAUGAUUGAGAAAACGAUGUCCAGUGAAUUGGGACCCUUUUAAUAGUUUUAAUUUCCGCAAUUAGGACACUUAUCUAAUUGGUGUCGUCAAACUAUAUAAAUGAAAGCUAAUGGCGUUCUUAAUUGGUGUUGUUUUUUUAAAAGAAAAUAAUUUUUUUUGCUUUUUUUAAGUUCAAUAGUUAUUUUUUAGAAACUACUCAACUCAUGCUUCUCAACUUCUACUUCUACCUAUUACUCAAUCAUAAAAGCAAAAUAACAAAAUAUCUCGUACUUGUUUGACCUAAUUAUAAAUAUACCUUCAUAAAUAACAAACCAAUUCGACUCUCUUUAUUUUUUGAUCAUUCUCUCUCUUAUCCAUCUCCGUACUGAAGACCUACCCUACACUAAAGCCACUAUUCCUUUAUCUGCCAUUGUAUCCGACCGUCAAUUAGCCACCGAUCACCGUUUAAUAAUUUUAUUUUAUUUUUGUUAAAUUUUUAUGAGCAUAUAGUGUUUUUUUGCUUGGUAAUGUAACUGUUUUUUUGAGCAACUUCUAACUACAAAAAUAUACAUUUUGAAUGUUUUCAAUUACGUUUUUUUUUAACAUAAAUGAACUUUUUAAGCUAUUUUUAGGGCCAUUUUUGAAGUUACUAAACUCAUGCUUUUUAGUUUUUGUUUCUAUCUAUUACUCAAUUAUAAAAGCAAAAUGACAAAAUACUUCAUACUUAAUUAACCAACUAGUUUUUCAAUUGGAGAUUAUAUGCCGAACUAGUUUUUUAAUUAACAAAUAUUCUUGGAUCAUGAAGAUGGUGAAAGAUUGCAUUGCCGUUUUGAUUAAGAAUAUGGAACGUUUGAAAACCUUGGUAAGUAUUUUGUUAAAAGCACAAUGUCAUACCCUGCAGUUUUUUCAGGCAACUAGUUAAUGCGGUCGAAGUAUACAAACAUUUGGUUUAAAUUGUAAUGGUUAAAAAAUAUGAGAUCUAAUUUAUUUAAAUUGAAAAUAUGAGUUAAUUUUGUCACUAAAUUUAAACCUUGGGUUUAAUAUGUAAUUUCGUAAUCAAAGACACUUGCACAAAUUAUAUAGGCAGCGGAAGAAAUGCUAAUUUUAAUUUCAAACAAACCUUCCCAAUCUUUUUUUCCUAAUUCCAUUAAAUGUUGGUUGGAGUUAAAUUUUGCUGGAACCUGUAAAUUCACCUAAUGUAUAGGGAAAUGUGACGCCGUCUCAACAAUUGAGGUGCUUUCCCUGUGGCUACUUAGUUGGAGGUCUAAGCUUUUUGUGCUUGGAUUCUCCUAGACUAUGCCUUGAUGCUCUCUCUCUUUUUUCCCCCUUUUCUCCGGGCAAUUGAGGUGUAAUUUUGAUUAAUCGGUGAAAAUAAUUUACUAAAGAUAAAUAAAAGGUGAAAAGCAAAAUAGAUAAAAAAAAAUUAUCCCAAAUAGAAAGAAAAAUGAUUUUCAUACGUUCAUUUUCUUUAAUUGUAUUUUUCUUAUGUUUAUUGAAAUUAAAUUAUGCAAUUAUCGUAAUAAAAAUAUUUGAGUAAAAAUAAAUAUUUAAAUAAAUUUAUCAUAAUAAGGACAACAAAAUCUAUAAUAUAUGACACAAGUAUUUUUGAAUCUUUCAAAUUAUCUCUCACUAUUUACGGAUGAGAUCUAUUUGAGUUAAUACAAUGUCUGAAAUUUCACCUGAGACUAUUUUUUCUCCAAAAAAAAUAUCACUUCUUUUUUUCUCAAAGGUGUGUGUGGCCCACGUAGGUUGUAAAAAUCACAUGGUCAAACUAGCAACACUUUUUCAAAAUCAUUAUAUUUUUUAAUUUAUUCUUUAUUUUGUAGUAAUCUAUCUCUUAUAUGACGUUUAUAUCUUAUAUGUUUUUUAGGUUAUACAAAUUUUAAUGCACACGGAUGCGAUUUUUUUUUUUUUUACAUAAUGUCCGUGUGCACGGAUAAUUACUAACAGCUUAAUAUGAUCAAUUUAAUUGGUUUAGUAUUUUUCUUACAUCCCUAGGACUUGGGUUUGAUCGGAGAUUAUAUGCCGAAUAAAUUUUUUAAUUAGUAAAUAUUUUUGAACCAUAGAGAUGGCGGAAGAUUGUGUUGCCGUUUUGAUUAAGAAUAUAGGACUUCUGAAAAACCAUGGUAAGAAUAUAUCCUGCAGUUUUUUCAGCCAGUUAGUUAAUGCGGUUUCAGCCAGUUAGUUAAUGGGGUCAAAUGAUACAAUCAUUUGGUUUGAAUCGUAAUGGUUAAAAAAUAUGAGAUUUAAUUUCUUAAAUUGAAAAUAUAAAGUUAAUUUUGUCACCAAGUUUAAACUUUGGGGUUUAAUUUGUAAUUUCUCAAAAAAAAAGCAUUAAAAGUUAGAACUCAAAUCCAAUACCAAUCGGAGGCCGAUUCACUUUUGGGUUCUCUCUUGGCAAUUGCGAACUGCGAAGGCGACGUGAUUCUAGGGUUUGCGACGAGAAGAAGAUGAAAUCGGGAGCGACGAUCUGUGUGGAUGCUGAGCCCUAUUUGAGGGUGAAGGAGGAAGUGGAGGAAAAACAUGGCCUUCAAAUUGUUGGCGAAGGCGACGAGUAUUGCCUGAAGCAAAGCGACGAAAUAAGUGGAAUCGUAACGACGACCUUUUUGGGAUCCUGGAUGAUGUGGCUAAGCCCCUUUCGAGAGUGAAGGAGGAAGUGGAGGAAAAUCACGGCCUUCGAAUUGGGGGCGAUGCUAUGUUUUAUGCUCAUAUUCUUAUCGGAGGAAAGUUUGGAGAAUGUCAAAUUGGUAACUGUUAAUUCUCUCGUCUAUUACAUCUGUUGCUAUCCGUAUGUAAUCAAAUUUUGUUGUUGCUGCUGCUGCUGUUGUUAAAUCUCGUCUUUUCAUAAUUUCGGUUGAUUUUGGAGCUAUUCGUAGCCAUGGAUGGACGCAGACCUUGGGGCGGAUGGACAUACAUGGACGAAAAACUUGUGUCGAUUGCCUGAACAAAUUAUAUCAAUCUAGUAGAGUGCUAUUUUGUACAUCCACCUGGGUGAAUAUUACCCCAUUUAGAAUAGUAGACCCCGCAAUUUAGCCAUCACAGAUAGGAUAUUGAUGUGGGUGAACAAAAUAGCACUCACAUAAUUAAACUGAAACAUUAGAAGAAGAGGAAGAAUGAGAAGCUAAAAAACCUUUAGCUUGGUGGAUAUGACAAUGAAAAAGAUCUCCCCUGACAUGAGAUUCUUUCGUCAUUUGGCAUAAUUUUCUAAUAGAAAAGUUUAUCUGUUGGCCGAGUUUUUUUUCUAUCUGUGAAGACUGGCAGAACACGCUAUGGCCCGAUAUUUUCGUCAGGUGUUUAUCUGGGAUUUUCCUACCUUUGGAGAUUGGAUGCCUCCGUGCAUUCGCUUUGCACGGCAGAUUAGUUUUGUCAUUUCUAGCCCAAACCCACAAUUUAGAAGGUCGCCUUCUUUAUAAAAAAAUUGUCAAAGGGAAACAUAUGUAUCAUUUUUUGUUAGGCUUGAACAAAAAUCUCGAUGAAUUAGAGGACGACUUAUGGGCUUAAAAACCUCUGCCGCACCUCAGAGAGGCAUUUUAUGAACUCCGUCGUGAAAAAUUCGAAAAAAGCUCGUGAUGGGACCCCAUCAACAACUGAAAUAGGCAAGAAAGCUCUGUUUUUAAAACUCAUAUUCACUCCUUCUAAAACCGUCAAAAAUAAAGGAGGAAGGCCUUGGUGUGAUCAGUGUGGAAAGCCAGGUCACUCAAUAGAAACUUUCCAGAAUAUUCAUGAAAAAACAGCAGAUUGGAAGCCAUAUCAACUACUUGAGAAAGAAAGAUGUCCUUUUAUGUCAGCGUAGUCACAAACUGGUUCGUCUUCAAACAAUGUCAUUGAUUCCGGAACCUUGGCUCACAAAGGUAAUUCUUUAAGUGCCUUUAUUAUUGGUAAGAAAUUUAAAAAAUUUUGGAUCAUGGACUCGAGAGCAUCUGAUCAUAUGAGGGGAGAUAUAACAAUUUUUUAUAUAUAUAGCUUAUGUCCAAAUAAUCUAACGGUCCGAAUAGCGAAGGUUACCGAUAUAGGUUCAGUUGUGCUAUCACAGGAUCUUAAUCUCAACUCUGUUCUUCUUGUUCCUAACUUGGACUAUAAUCUAUUGUCAAUUAGUAAACUUACUAAAGAAAGGAGGCAUGUUACUAAUUUUUUCUCCAUUCACUAUGAAUUUUAGGAUUUGGAUUCGAGGAAGACGAUUGGCAAUGCUGAGGAAUACUCCAGACUCUCCAUCCUUAAGGAUCGCAACUAUCCACAAGAACAAUCUCAAACGACAUUUAGUGGUAUUCUUUGUUUUUAUUUGUGUCAAAAUAACGAUAGUGCAAUCAUGUUUGGCACUAUCAGUUAGGCCUCCUAAUGUUAUGCAUCUCACGCUUUAUUUUCUUCAUUAUUAUUCCUCCCCAAUCCCACCUCCUUUUUCUUUUUCCCUCUUUCCCUUCUCCCCUCCCCGACCCCCUCCGUUUCUUUCUUCAUUUUUCAUUCACCCCCUAUAAAGCUCUAAUCUUCUCAAUGAUUCCAUAGCGAUAUAUGGGGCUGUCCAGAUAAAAAAUUUAACUGGUUCUAUGUGGUUUUGGUCUCCUUAAUAUAUUAUCACACUAGAUUAACCUGGGCAUUCCUCAUGAAAGAAAUUUUGAAACGGGUUCAAAUCUUCAAAAAAUUUAAAAAUAUGAUUUAACUCAAUUUUAGUCAAAAAUACAAAUUCUAAAGCUAAUAACGCUAAUGAUUAUUUCAACUCUAUUCUAAGUUCAUUUCUAGAAAAAAAAAAAAAAAAAUAAAAGAGAGGAUAAUUCACUCCAAGUUUCCAUGUGUAGAUACACCAUAACAAAACGGAAUCGCUGGAAAAAAAAUAGGCAUUUGUCAAGGUGCGAGAUCGUAAUGUGUUUUUUUUUCUCCACAAAUGUUCCAAAAUUAUUCUGGGGGGAAGUUGUACUUUGGUGGCCUACUCAUCAUAGGAUUGCCGUAUAAGGUACAAACAUUCCCAAUGCUUUGUCAAAAGCGCUUAAAUCAUUUUUGAUACUCAUCGUUAUCUUCACCAUCCAAAUUUUUGGGUGGCUCAGUCUUUGUUCAUGUCCAUCAAUAGUAUACGAAGUAAAUUUGAAAUCAUAGUGUCACUCAAAUGCAUCUUUUCUUUGGUAUCUUCAAAUCAAAAAGGUACAAGUGUUACCUUCGUCACAAGAAAAAUCUCAACUAUAUCCCAAUUCUUUGGCAGUAUCGAAUGACAAUUUUUUUUUGCCAAUGUCAGUGGUCAGCGAGUGACAAGCGACGACCAUGACAUAUUAUUUUCUGCCUCCAUUUUUUGUAGGUUGGUGCUGAGGUUUCUGGUGCCCGUUGAAGCUCCAUUGAUGUAGUCUUCUUUCUCCUUUCCCCGUAUGAACAAGUAAGAUGACUAGACCAUUGUAAAUAAUUUUGUCCAUUCAGUUUAUGGGAGGAUCCCUGAAGAUAAGAGGUUUCCUCUAUAAAGGAUGAAGAUGAUGAGAUGUGCUAUCAGAAGAAGAGGAGGGUGAGUGGUAGCCAUUCGUAAGGUUGGAUCGUAUUUACGACAUGAAAUAGAAAAAGAGAAUCGAGUAGAAAAACUCGAACAUUGAUUGAAGAUGAAGAAAUUAUAUCAAUCUAGUAGAGUGCUAUUUUGUACAUCCACCUGGGUGAAUAUUACCCCAUUUAGAAUAGUAGACCCCGCAAUUUAGCCAAUCACAGAUAGGAUAUUGAUGUGGGUGAACAAAAUAGUACUCACAUAAUUAAACUGAAACAUUAGAAGAAGAGGAAGAAUGAGAAGCUAAAAAACCUUUAGCUUGGUGGACAUUAAUUUUUCAAAAAUUUCUCGGGUGGAAAAACUAUAUAAUUUGAAAAUAUUAGUAGCUUAUACUAUUAUUAUAAUGGGUUUUUACCUUGGGGUGGCGUUGGCGCCCUUCUAUCUCUAUCUCUCUCCCCUCAAUUCCUAAUUGUAGCCUUGUUGGUUUUAUUUUUCCCGUGACGCUUCAAUGGGUUUCGGUCCUGAUUCCAUUGUUGGUUGGGUUUUUUGAUGUUACUUUUUCUGGUUCUUCGAUUGGUGAUUACUGAUAUUUAUUUUUCCUUUUAUCUUAACCGUGAUGAUUUAUUUAUAUUGAAGAAGACAGUUUAAUGCUAGAGAGAUGCAGCAUAUCUCAAUGAAGCCUGUGAGUUGACACGAUCUAGAAUCUUAAGCAAUGAGGACGAGAAAGAGCUUGAUAGUGUUGAGCACAUUAUACGUCGGUCUUUGAUAGAAUACAACGAGCUGGUUAAGGAGAAGCAUCCGAUCUUCAAGCCUUGGUGGGAUCGUGUUAGCCGGGAACUUAAUGGUGCAGAAACUAAAUUGCUUUCUUUCAUGGAUUCAUGGAUGCCAAUUUCCGCGAUGCCACACGUAACUCCUGAAUUAGUCCAUGAGUGUCAGGCUGUUUGUGGUCUGCUUCACCUGGCCAUGGAAGCUAAGAACUUGUCUGGAAUUCCUAAGCUGCUCAGUGAGUUCAUUGACCUCCUCCACAAACUUGUGGGGGCCGAUUCCGAUUAAGUUUCAAAGACAAUUAGUGAAACUGUUGACAGCAUCAAGUAAGGAGGUAAAUUUACCAUAGUCCCCGUAGGCUGUCAAUAGAUGUUUGUGCUUGUUUCAAUUUUUUUUCUUGGGUUCCUUUGUUUUUGUUUGAUUUCCACUACUUGAAGUUCUAAUUUCAAUUCGUUGCAUUGGUAUAUAGGUUGCGAGGCCACCUUUCUGGCUUCCAAUUCCGUGGCUUCCUACUUUUUUCUGGGGAGUAUGCUGGGACCCAUCCUUGUACUGCUGCGUGAGAUGGUUUUGGGUCAGAUCACGUGACUAGUGCUAUGAUGAAACCAUGUUUUUCCGUCCUCGCUUGAAUACUUAUAAGCCAGGCGUGUUCCCAGAGGGUUUUCUCUUCUUGGGCGCCUACGUGGAUUGGUAAGGCGAACUUGCCAAAGCCAUCGCCGUGCAUCUAUAUGAUAAUGUUGGAACCGGCUAAUACGGGUGGACCUGUCAGAAUUCACAGAAUCUGCCUUGGGGAGACUUGUCGACCGCUGUGAGUUCUAUGCCGUACAGUGUUAUCUCUUUCGGCAAAAUUGAGAAGCCCCCUCCCUCGAUUUUGGACAUCCUCUUCAUAUUCUAAAUCAAGGUAGACUAAUUUGAUGGGCAAGGACGUAGCAUCGACUUCACUAAUACCAUGGUAUAUGACUUCAAAUGUGGGAGCAGAACAGCUCAAUUUGUU